UUCAGCCAACUUUUUUUGCCACAAUGUAGUAGCUUCUUACAGGUGAUGGACCUCUCAGUUCUAAACUAGAAAUCUAGACUCUAAAUAAUUUGCUAUGGAUUCAAGGAGGAAGAUGACUGUGAUCCCAUGGCCAUUUCUUUUGGUUUUCUUCCUUCCUCUUGUUACAUUUAUGGGGCAAACACAAGAAAAAUCAAUAAGUAAAUGAUUGAAUGGGAAUAUGCAUGCCUUUUCAAGGUUCCUAAGCAAACAUUUAUUUUGGUUAGUAUGACUAUAGGAUCUUAUUGGGCAAAAACCAAACCAAACCAACCAUUGAAGUGUGACUGAGUUAAUGGAUGCAUCUUAAUUAUUAUGCAAAGUUGAUGAGAGCUAAUCUCCAACUAUGCCUUUAAGAGUCACAGCACAACACACACAUACAUACGCACACACACAGAAUCAACUUAUGAAACUAACUCCCAAUAGUGACCUCCCUUCUUGAGAAAUACGUGUUGCUGAUGCAAAAAUAAACUCCUUUAGUCAUUGUUUG
rnacentral:lncRNA from 1 species